GACGAACGCUGGCGGCGUGCCUAAUACAUGCAAGUCGAGCGAAGUUUUUCUGGUGCUUGCACUAGAAAAACUUAGCGGCGAACGGGUGAGUAACACGUAAAGAACCUGCCUCAUAGACUGGGACAACUAUUGGAAACGAUAGCUAAUACCGGAUAACAGUAUUUCUCGCAUGAGAGAUAUUUAAAAGUUGGUUAUGCUAACACUAUGAGAUGGCUUUGCGGUGCAUUAGCUAGUUGGUGGGGUAAAGGCCCACCAAGGCGACGAUGCAUAGCCGACCUGAGAGGGUGUUCGGCCGCACUGGGACUGAGACACGGCCCAGACUCCUACGGGAGGCAGCAGUAGGGAAUCUUCCGCAAUGGGCGAAAGCCUGACGGAGCAACGCCGCGUGAGUGAAGAAGGAUUUCGGUUCGUAAAGCUCUGUUGUUAGGGAAGAAUGGAUAUGUAGUAACUAUACAUGUAAGAGACGGUACCUAGCCAGAAAGCCACGGCUAACUACGUG
rnacentral:rRNA from 1 species